GUGCCAGCCGCCGCGGUAAUACCGGCAGCCCGAGUGAUGGCCGAUCUUAUUGGGCCUAAAGCGUCCGUAGCUGGGUGCGCAAGUCCAUCGGGAAAUCCACUCGCUCAACGAGUGGGCGUCCGGUGGAAACUCCACACCUUGGGACCGGAAGGCUCGAAGGGUACGUCCGGGGUAGGAGUGAAAUCCUGUAAUCCCGCACGGACCACCGAUGGCGAAAGCACUUCGAGAAAACGGAUCCGACAGUGAGGGACGAAAGCUAAGAUCGCGAACCGGAUUAGAUACCCGGGUAGUCC
rnacentral:rRNA from 1 species